GACGAAGGAUCCAAGCGUUAUCCGGAUUCAUUGGGUUUAAAGGGUGCGUAGGCGGCCCGGUAAGUCAGUGGUGAAAUCUCCUUGCUUAACAAGGAAACUGCCAUUGAUACUGCUGGGCUUGAGUACAGAUGCUGUGGGCGGAAUAUGACAUGUAGUGGUGAAAUACAUAGAGAUGUCAUAGAACACCGAUUGCGAAGGCAGCUCACAAAACUGUAACUGACGCUGAGGCACGAAAGUGCGGGGAUUAAACAGG
rnacentral:rRNA from 1 species